AUGGUAAAUGCAUGCAUCAAGGAUGAAUUUGAUGCAUACGUGUGUAAUGCCGAUCUUGAAGACUUCAUGCAGGAUAAGUGUCCUCAGUACUACUAUUUGACUGAUUCAUUCGUGAGAAGAUUUAAAUUUUCAUCUUCGCGUAAUUCUCAAAGUGUCCUGUUUGAUAUUUAUGAUCAGUCAUAUACCAUGGACCUAGAAGAUUUUACUACUGCUUGCAAACUCCCACAGUGGGGUAGUGUUAAUGUACCCCGUAAAUCUGAAUAUAAAGACUUUCUUGCUAGUAUCACUGUGGGAGAAUCUAGAGAUAUAGCGCAAGCUACCAUAGGGAGCAUUCAUUUUCCUGCUAUACAUUGUUUUGCUCUCUUCAUUGGUAGAUACAUUAACGGUAAGGAUGAAGCAUGUCACAUGUGUGUUCUUGAUCGUUGUGUUCUCAAGAGUGUGGUAUUAGGUAAUAAAGAAUACAACUUGGGGGCAAUUGUUGCACGUAGGUUGCAUAAUAAUGGUUUAUCUGGAGAUUUGUUUGGAGGGAUUUAUGCGACCCGUGUUGCUAAUUAUCUUGGUAUACCUCCACGUGAGGGUGAUAGCGAGUUGCUUCCCGCUUAUUUAGAUUAUAAUGCUAUGGUCAGUCAUCAUUUUCUUGAGAGGAAUGAACAAUUCCUCCAGUAUCGACUAAUCUUUGACAGACGUCGCGCUGUCCAUGUCACUCUCCCUGCUCCUUCCCUUUUUGAUUACCAGGAAAAAAGAAGAUAUGUUGUAACCAGGGAGGAGGCAACCGAAUAUGAAAGGAGAAUGGAGGCAUCUCGCCACCAUGCCGUAGCUCAGGAGGCAUUGGCUGCUGCAUCUCAGUAUGAUCCCAGUUAUAACUUUGGAUAUCAGUCAGGCUAUCAAUAG
rnacentral:rRNA from 1 species